rnacentral:pre_miRNA from 1 species
GAGAAACAUCAUUGAGUGCAGCGUUGAUGAAUUCCCUGCAAUUUUCUGGAAUUUGGGGAUGAUUUCACCAGCGCUGCAUUCAAUCAUGUUUUU